rnacentral:lncRNA from 1 species
GCUGGCAGAGGUUAAGGCCUGACUUCUGCUCCCAGUUGAUCCAGUCGACCCGGGUUCAAAUCCGCCUGCCGGCUCCUCGGGUGUUUGAGGAGUGAUGAAAUGGGAGGUGGCCCCCCAUCUUAUGGACGGUGUAGGACGUGAUAAUAUCAACUUGCGAGCUGACCAGGAACUAAGUUGAUGCGCCGUUGAUCCGCUAGAUUUGGUUGGAUGCUGGUGGUGAGUUGCCGAACCCAACGAAUACAUUCUGAAGUCGGAUGGGGUGACGGAUUAGGGUGCCCCUCUAGCAGGGGAGAGCAGGGACUGCCCCGGGAAAGGGGGCCGCUGGCGAAGUUAACCACCCUGUAACAACAUACAUACACGUGGUCCUUUUCCGUUAUCUGGGCAUAAGGCAACACAGCCUCUCGCGCUCAUUCACAUGGAUGUAAUGUAAUGUAAUGUAAUGUUACAGAGUGGGAGGCUUCUGGGCCGCUUUAUCACAUUGUCAGUUCUACGAUUUAUCAUCUUAUAGCACCGUCCACCACUACCACACUAUACUUCGCCAUACGAACUGUAAGUCCAAGGCGGCGGGUCCAGCCGUCUAGGACCCCUCCUCAUCCAUUCACCCGAACAACCGAAGAGACGGAGGGUUCGGCAAUCGCCACCAAUCUAGCGUGCGAAUCUGGUCCAUCAACUGCGACCUCAACUCCACAUCUCAGCAGCUAGCCAUAAUCUCGCGCUCCCGACUAAUUCGGGGGUAUCCCCAGGAAUCGAACCCAGGACCUUAAACCGCGAAUCGCAGUAGUGUCAACCCAGACCAGACCAGACAUGGAUGUGUGUGGGCCUAUGCCUGAACCUUCGCCUAGUGGUUCGCGUUACGUGACAACCCUGCUUGACGACCAUACUGGUCUUUCAGCUGUUGCGUUUACAGCGACCAAGGAGGAGGUCUACCAGAAAAUGGUGGUAAUGAUAGCGGAACUGGAGCGCGCUACUGGCAGGCAGGUUAAGGAGGUGCGUACAGAUCGUGGCGGGGAGUUCGUUAAUACUCGCACGAAGGCCUAUUUCGCUUCCAGGGGUAUUCUACACGGAACUACUGUAGGCUACACCCCUGAGCAGAACGGAGCUGCAGAACGUUUAAAUCGCACUCUUUUGGACAAGACUAGGGCUAUGCUAGUUGAGUCUGGACUGCCUAAAUCAUUAUGGGCGGAGGCGUUAGCGACAGCCAACUAUCUUAGGAAUGUGUCGCCAACUGCUGGGUCAACCGUCACUCCGUACGAAGCUUUCUUUAAUGUUCGUCCGAACGUCAGUCACCUGCGAGUCUUUGGAUGCGUUGCCUACGUCCACGUACCCGACGUCAAGCGCAACAAGUUCGACCCGGUGAGCAGGCGUGGAAUACUUGUCGGAUACGGGAACGGUGGACAGUAUCGUGUACUAUACGAGGACGGCAUUAUUGCCGUAGUUUCCAACGUUCGUUUUGAUGAAUCUAACGUCGGCUGGCGGCGUAAUGCCGGGGACUCCGAUUAUGAGUCCGAUGCCGACGAGGAGGAGGAUUUUCGCACUAGUUUGCCUGGUGAGGGAUCGCUGCCUAGGGCUGGCGAAGGGAUACCAGGUAGCACCGUCGGCGAGGGAUCGCCGCACUUGGGUGGCGAGGGGGCGCCGGCUGGGGCUGGACCUUCCAGCAGUGCGAAUGGGCAAGGAAUCAAUCAGCCUGAUGUGGAAAUGGCGGGAACUAGGUAUCCAGUUAGAGAGCGUAAACGUCCUGGCGAAUGGUGGCGAAACGAACCCGGUCGCACUGUCACUGGUCGCGUUAACGCUGCUUUCUCUGCUGGUAUUCCUGAGCCUAAUUCGUUUGAGGAAGCAAUUGCAAGUCCACAUGCAGACGACUGGCGGCGUGCGAUGGACGAGGAGAUCGCCGCCCAGAUGGCUAAUAGUCUGGUCUGGGUUGACACUACUGCAAUUAGCGGUUUAAGGUCCUGGGUUCGAUUCCUGGGGAGACCCCCGAAUUAGUCGGGAGCGCGAGAUUAUGGCUAGCUGCUGAGAUGUGGAGUUGAGGUCACAGUUGAUGGACCAGAUUCGCACGCUGGAUUGGUGGCGAUUGCCGAACCCUCCGUCUCUUCGGGUGUUCGGGUGAAUGGAUGAGGAGGGGUCCCUGAAGGCUGGAUCCGCCGCCUUGGACUUACAGUUCGUAUGGCGAAGUACAGUGUGGUAGUGGUGGAUGGUGCUAUAAGGUGAUAAAUGAUCUAGAACUGACAAUGUGAUAAAGCGGCCCAGAAGCCUCCCACUCUGUAACAUUACAUUACAUUACAUUACAUUACAUAAUAGUACUUGGGAGCUGAAGACGCCACCUCCUCGUUUGUUGCCGUGUCGUUGGGUAUAUAAGGUUAAGUACAGCGAUGACGGCAGCGUGGAGCGUUUUAAGGCGCGUUUAGUUGCCAAGGGUUUCGAGCAACGUGAGGGGAUUGAUUAUGGGGAGUUGAUGUUGUUACAGGGUGGUUAAGCUUCACCAGUGGCCUCCUUCCCGAGGCAGUUCCCUGCUCUCCCCUGCUAGAGGGGCACCCUAAGCCAUUCACCCCAUCCGACUUCAGAGUGUACUCUUUGAGUUUGGCAGCUCACCACCAGCAUCCAACCAAAUCUAGCGGAUCAACGGCGCGUCAACUUAGUUCCUGGUCAGCUCGCGAGUUGAUUUUAUCACGUCCUACACCGUCCACAAGAUGGGGGGCCACCUCCCAUUUCAUCACCUCUCAAACACCCCGAGAGGUCGGCAGGCGGAUUUGAACCCGGACGCGCUGGGACGCGACGGGAGCAGAAGCCAGGCCUUAACCUCUGCCAGCCGCCUGCCUGCCUGCCGGAGUUGUUUGCCCCUACCUCUCGUGGUUCGUCAUUGCGUGCUUUAUUAGCAGUUGCCGCAGCCCGGAACAUGACGGUACGUCAACUCGAUGUGUCUACUGCGUUUCUGAAUGGUGAGCUGAAGGAGGAGUUGUGGAUGGAGCAACCGCCUGGGUAUGCAUCCAGUGACCGGUCGCUUGCGUGCAAGCUGCAGAAGUCUAUUUACGGUUUAAAGCAGGCACCCCGUUGCUGGUAUGAAAAACUAUCAGCAGAGUUCGCCAAGUUGGGUCUUUAUCCUUCGAAGUCUGAUCCGGCGAUGUUCGUUAAGACUGACGAGCGUGGGGUUGUUAUUGCUUUGGUGCACGUAGAUGACACUAUUGUUGCGUCGGANNNNNNNNNNNNNNNNNNNNNNNNNNNNNNNNNNNNNNNNNNNNNNNNNNNNNNNNNNNNNNNNNNNNNNNNNNNNNNNNNNNNNNNNNNNNNNNNNNNNNNNNNNNNNNNNNNNNNNNNNNNNNNNNNNNNNNNNNNNNNNNNNNNNNNNNNNNNNNNNAACAUAGGUAUAUUGCGCAGCUAUUGGAGCGUCAUAAGUUGGUUGACGCCAAGCCGAGGUCUACUCCUUUGCCUCCGGGUUUUAGGUACACUCCUACGGGGGACGGAGAGGAGCUGCUGGGCAAUCCCACGGAGUAUAGGGCUUUGGUGGGAGAAUUGAACUAUCUUGCGACGAACACGCGGCCUGACAUUUCUUAUGCAUUGAGUGUUUUGUCCCGGCAUAUGGCCACACCUUCGAAGACUGCCAUGAACUUGGCCACUGGCGUUCUGCGUUACCUGGCGGGUACUCGCGAACUAGGAUUGCGUUUUGGGGGUGUUGGCGACGUUGCUAUGUCCGGGUAUAGCGAUUCUGACUGGGCAGGAGACCCAGUUACGCGGCGUUCUACGUCCGGUUACGUAUUCACUCUUAAUGGGGCUGCGAUUAGCUGGAGCAGCCAACUUCAACGUACUGUGGCGGCUUCGUCGGUGGAGGCUGAGUACCAAGCUACAGCGGCGGCUGUUCGUGAGGCUUUGUGGCUUCGCAAGCUGAUGGUUGAUUUGAGCUUGCCUGAGAGCGCGGUGAAAAUCCAGAUAGACUCCCAGGGGGCGCUUAGCUUGGGAAACAACCCAAUUACGCCUGCUCGGUCGAAGCACAUCGACGUGCAGCAUCACAUAGUGUGUGAGAGGGUGAAUAGCGGUGAGGUGCAGUUGGAAUACUGCCCUACGGAGUGGAUGGUUGCGGAUGUACUAAUGAAGGCUCUGGGCGAGGUGAAGUUCAAACGUUGCCGAGAUGCUAUGGGCCUAGUGUGAAGUGUGCAGAUGAUCUUGGUACUCGUUGGGAUACGGCCCGAGGGGGCGUGUUGAGGAAACGGUCCUCUCCCAACUCGUGUGGUUGUCGACCAGGGGAUUUGACCCCGGGUCUGCGCCUGACUAAUGGGGAAGACUUACCCCAGAACCUUAUGGGGCUAUCGAUGCAUAUCCGGUAGCUAAGUGAUAGACAUUAGGGCACCGUCUGGACGGCGCAGUGAGAUCGCGGAAUGUACGUGCAGUUAGAUCGCGGAAUGUACGAGUUUUCCGCUAGCGCCGGUAUUUAGGGCGGUGACUGCGCCUAUUAGUUUAUCUCAUAACGAUCGGUAUUCCUACCAGGAAUCUCCUCAAGUCCUGCCGAACGCUAACAAUACUCUUUACAUUACUUGUAACAGUUUAUCGUGCUAAAUAUCUUCGCCACCGGCAAUCCUUCCGAAAUAACAAUCAGCGUUAGCCGUCACCGUCGCCAAUUCUUCAAUAAAACGCUCCAUGCUGCCGUCAUCACUGUACUUAACCUUAUACACCCAACGACACGGCAACAAACGAGUACCAGGAGGUGGCUUCUUCAGCUCCCAAGUACUAUUAGCCAUCUGGGCGGCAAGGAGACUGGUCGUGAUAUAAGGGUUACAGUCUGUGGGUUAGUGGUGAACGGCUAGAGGACUUUAGGAGAUUCUUAUGAAGGAAUACCGAUCCAUCCGAAGAUGAGAUAGAAAGACAUGCACCACUCUGGUCUUAUGUACCGAUACCAACGGAAGUAUCGUACAGUCGCCCACCAUCAACGCUGGACAAGAGGGGACGUCCGAGAUACGCGGCCGGGAGACCCUAGGCAAGGUCGAGGCACGUCCGAGGCAAGGUCGAGGCACGUCCGAGGCAUCGCCUAUCACGGCGGAUUCAUCACCUAUCUACCACCUAUCUACACUUGUGUCAUAUAUUCCAGUACCAAUCGAAGUAUCGUACAGUCGUCCACCAUCCCUGGACGAGAGGACACAUCAGAGAUACACGGCCGAGAGACCCGAGACAAGGUCGAGGCAUGACCGAGGCAAAGUCAAGGCCAAGGUCGAGGCACGGUCGAGGCAAGGUCAAGGCACGGCCGAGGCAUCGCCUAUCAUGGCGGAUUCAUCGCCUAUAUACCACCUACCUACGUUGGGAUAGGACCGCCCUUCAACAGUUGAUCCGCCUUGUUAAACCACACCUCCUAGCACGGGUAGCAAGGAUAGGCCUAAGAUGCGGGGUGCACUUGAGAGCCUGUGCCGCGGUCUGGAAGGUGAUAGUGGUGAACCAGCUCGUGCUGAGACGGGGAUUUUGUGUCUUCUGCCAUCGAGGGUUUGCUGCAGUCAGAGACCAUCAAACCUUGCCCGUCAUGACCUGUGCCUUGGGCGUCGUAGAGCAGAAAGGCAAGCUUCGCCUCAUCUGGGACGGACGUGAAGUCAAUAAGCACCUGCACAUCCCACUAUGAGUCGCUUGUGCAGGUCCCAGGCUGGCUAGGCCCCAAGGACUACAUGUUCACCCUGGACCUGAAGUCUGGUUACCACCAUAUGGUCGUACGCGAAGCAGACUGGCGCUACCUUGGUUUUGAAUGGCAAGGCCAGUUCUACAUCUAUACACAACUCUUUUUCGGCCUUGCCUCCGCCUGUUGGGCAUUCACCAAGCUAAUACACGAGAUCACGCGGACUUGGAGACGGAAGGAAGGGCUGGCAGUGCUCAGGAUACAUCGAUGAUCAGAUCCACGCCCACCAGGACACCCAGACCCUCAUCAUCCGCCGCACCAUAAUCCUCGACCUCUUUGAGCGCCUGGGGUUCUGUGUGAACCGUGACAAGUCAAUGAUGGGCGAGCCCCAGCAGCAAGUGAGGUACCUGGGUAUGCUGUUAGAUACAUUAGGUACAUUGUGCCUGAAGAUAAGCGCACUUUCCUGCUCGGCUGCAUCCACUCGGCUCUGGGAAAACGGCGCAUCAAGGCGAGAAAUUGGCCUGCUUAAAAUGGCAGCUUCUGUCCAUGUCUUGGGUGUUCGGGCAAGUAGCCCAGGCUCUGGGGCAGGAUAUUGAGUCGCGCCACACCUGGGAUACCCACAUCCGCUUAUCUAACGACGCAACUGCAGAGCUCGAAUUCUGGCUGCGCUGUUUCGACUGGUUUAACGGAACCCGUGCCCUCUGGGAGCCCACACAGGUGCACUCGGUCGUUUUCUGUGAUGCAGCCAGGAAAUCCCUCAAGCACCUCGGGAGUUGGGGUGCCUGGACGCUGAUCGACGGGAAGUUGGCCCAAGCCCGCGGUAAUUGGGGAGAAUGUUAAGAAUAUGAAGGAGGCAAAGAGACUGGUCGCGAUGUAAGUAUUACAGUCGGUAGGUGAGUGGUGAACGGCAGGAAGACUUUAGGAAAUUCCUACUAAGGAAUACCGAUCCAUACAAAGAUGAGAUACCAAGACUUGCAUAACUUGUGUCUUAUAUACCAGUACCAAUGGAAGUAUCGUACAGUCGCCCACCAUCUAACUUGGACAUGAGGACACGUCCGAGAUACAGGGCCGCGAGACCCGAGGCAAUGUAGAGGCACGGCUGAGGCAAGGUCGAGGCACGUCCGGAUUCAUCGCCUAUCUACCACCUAUCUGCGUUGGGAUAGGACCGCCCUUCAACACGACCCCUCGGGACAUAUCCCAACUCUGGUCUGGUCUGGGUUGACACUACUGCGAUUCGCGGUUUAAGGUUCUGGGUUCGAUUCCUGGGGAGACCCCCGAAUUAGUCGGGAGCGCGAGAUUAUGGCUAGCUGCUGAGAUGUGGAGUUGAGGUCGCAGUUGAUGGACCAGAUUCGCACGCUAGAUUGGUGGCGAUUGCCGAACCCUCCGUCUCUUCGGUUGUUCGGGUGAAUGGAUGAGGAGGGGUCCUAGAUGGCUGGACCCGCCGCCUUGGACUUACAGUUCGUAUGGCGAAGUAUAGUGUGGUAGUGGUGGACGGUGCUAUAAGAUGACAAAUCGUAGAACUGACAAUGUGAUAAAGCGGCCCAGAAGCCUCCCACUCUGUAACAUUACAGAUAUCCCAACUCGCAGUAGCACAUUUGCUCCACCAAUGGGCGGCACUUCACACAACGCCCAUAGCUUCUCUGCACCGUUUGAACUUCACUUCUCCCAGUGCCUUCAUGAGCGCACCCGCUACCAUCCACUCUGUAGGGCAGUACUCCAACCCCGCUAUUCACCCUCUCACACACUAUGUGGUGCUGCACGUCGAUGUGUUUCGACCCAGCAGACGUAAUCGGAUGAUUUCCCAAGCUAAGCGCACCCUGGGAGUCUAUCUGGAUUUUCACCGCGCUCUCAGGCAAGCCCAAAUCGACCAUCAGCUUGCAAAGCCACAAAGCUUCAUGAACAGCCGCCGCUGUAGCUGGGUACUCGGCCUCCACCAACGAAGCCGCCACAGUACGUUGAAGUUGGCUGCUCCAGCUAAUCGCAGCCCCAUUAAGAGUGAAUACGUAACCGGACGUAGAACGCCGCGUAACAGGGUCUCCUGCCCAGCCCGAAUCACUGUACCCGGACAUUGCAACACCACCAACACCCCCAAAAUCCUAGUUCGUGAGUACCCGCCAGGUAACACAGAAUGCCAGUGGCCAAGUUCAUGGCAGUCUUCGUAGGUGUGGCCAUAUGCCGGGACAAAAUGCUCAAUGCAUACGAAAUGUCGGGUGUUCGAUUGUUCGUCGCCAGAUAGUUCCAUUCUCCCACCAACUCGGGGGGAUUGCCCAGCAGCUCCUCUCCGUCCCCCGUAGGAGUGUACCCCUAAAGCCCGGAGGCAAAGGGGUAGAUCUCGGCUUGGCGUCAACCAUCCUAUGACGCUCCAACAGCUGCGACAUACCUAUGCUGCGACAACACUAACUCACCCGACUUCUCCCUCCUAAUCUCCAUGCCCCAAAACACCUUCGCUUCUCCAAGGUCACGCACCUUGAAGACUUUCACAAUUGCUGCUUUAAUGGCGCGGACCAUUUCCGGGUCUUCUGAUGCAACAAUGCAACAGGCAGGCGGCUGGCAGAAGUUAAGGCCUGGCUUCUGCUCCCGUCGCGUCCCGGCGCGUCCGGGUUCAAAUCCGCCUGCCGACCUCUCGGGGUGUUUGAGAGGUGAUGAAAUGGGAGGUGGCCCCCCAUCUUGUGGACGGUGUAGGACGUGAUAAAAUCAAUUCGCGAGCUGACCAGGAAUUAAGUUGACGCGCCGUUGAUCCGCUAGAUUUGGUUGGAUGCUGGUGGUGAGUUGCCAAACUCAAAGAGUACACUCUGAAGUCGGAUGGGGUGAAUGGCUUAGGGUGCCCCUCUAGCAGGGGAGAGCAGGGAAUUGCCUCGGGAAGGAGGCCACUGGUGAAGCUUAACCACCCUGUAACAACAUCAACAAUGGUGUCAUCUACGUGCACCAAAGCAAUAACAACCCCACGCUGAUAGCUUUUCAUACCAGCAACGGGGUGCCUGCUUCAAACCGUAAAUAGACAGACCUCUGCAGCUUGCACGCAAGCGACCGGUCAAUGGAUUCAUACCCAGGCGGUUGCUCCAUCCAGGGUUGCUGCAUCCACAACUCCUCCUUCAACUUGCCGUUCAAAAAUGCAGUAGACACAUCGAGCUGAUGCACUGUCAUGUUCGGCAUCUUCAGCUCCCAAGUACUGUUAGCCAUCUGGGCGGCGAUCUCCUUGUCCAUUGCACGCCGCCAAUCGUCUGCAUGUGGACUUGCAAUGGCUUCCGCAAACGAAUUCGGUUCAGGAAUACCAGCAGAAAAAGCAGCAUUAACGCGACCAGUUACAGUGCGACCAGGCUCAUUUCGCCACCACUCGCCAGGGCGUUUACACUCUGAAUCUGGGUACCUAGUUCCCGCCAUUUCCACAUCAGGCUCACUACUUCCUUGCCCGUUCACACUGCUGGAAGGUCCAGCCCCAGCCGGCGCCCCCUCACCACCCAAAUGGGGCGAUCCCUCGCCGACAGUAUUGCCUGAUGUUCCUUCGCCACCCCUCACCAGGCAAGAUAGUGUAAACGUCAUCCUCCUCAUCGGUAUCGGACCCAUAAUCGGAGUCCCCGGCACUACGCCGCCGGCCGACAUUGGACUCAUCAAAGCAGACACUGGAGACAACAGCGAUGACGCCGUCCUCGUACAGUACGCGGUACUGUCCUCCAUUCCCGUAUCCGACUAGGAUUCCUUACCUGCUUACCGGAUCGAGUUUGUCUCACUUGACGUUGGGCACAUGAACGUAUGCAGCGCAUCCAAAAGACCUGCAGAUGGCUGACAUUCGGAUGAACACCAAAGAAGGCUUGAUGUGGUGUGACGGUUGACCCAGCAGCGACACGUUCCUGAGGUAGUUUGCAGUCGCCAACGCUUCCGCCCACAGUGAUUUUGGGAGUCCAGACUCUAUGAGCUUGAACUGGCUUUGUCUAGGAGAGUGCGGUUCAGGCGUUCUGCUGCACCGUUCUGCUCAGGAGUGUAGCCCGCAGUAGUUCCGUGCAAAAUACCCCUUGAUGUGAAGUAGUUUUUCGUGCGAGUAUUCACAAAUUCCCCGCCAUGAUCCGUGCGCACUCCUUUACCUGCCAACCAGAUGCCCGUUCCAGGUCCGCUAUCAUCACCACCACCUUCUGAUAUAUCUCCUCCUUGGUCGCCGUAAAUGCAACCGCUGACAGACCGGUGGGGUUAUCAAGAAGGGUGGUCACAUAACGCGAACCAUUUGGUUCAGGCAUGUGAAUGAGUGCAAGAGGCUGCGCUGCCUUAUGCCCAGAUAACAGAAAAGGACCCGUUGUAUGCUUUGCAAGGACGCAAGUCUCACACACACACGCGCUGGCUGAUUGUAUGCUGUGUCAGUCAAUAUCGAGCCCAGUUACCAUAUUGUGACGCAGCAACGCCUCAAGGUUGCUGUAUCUAUCACAAGUGGCCAUACCGUCGGUGCCAAAGUGCUGCACGUUCAGCUCCGAUAAUGCUGCCAUGCCGAUACCCAUGGCAGCACACACUGCACCACCACCAGAAGGCAUCCUGUUGCGUUCACGCUGCGUCUAUUUCAGAGCGCCUGUACCUCCACUGCUGUAGCAAACGGGAUAAAAGUCCCCUUCCCGCUUUCCAGUCAGCACCAACUGGUUCUGUACGUAUACAAGUUACAAGUUACAAGUGCCGCACGAGUGCGGGGGUGUCCGUCAAAGCCGGGAGGCCAUGGACUAUAUGUAUUGAAAGUUGAUUACACCAUACGACCGACGGCGGUUUGGGUCCUGCCAACUAGACCCCUCCUCAUCCAGUCACCCAACAUCCGUAGAGACAGAUCAGCCACCACCUCCAUCUCAGCAUGCGAAACUUAGUCCAUCAACUAGACCGCAUCUCCACACCUCAGCAGCGUCAACAAUGUCGGGGGUCUGACCAGGAAUCGAACCCGGAACCUUCAUAUACACGAAGGCGCCACCAGACCAGACCACGUAUAAUUUCACCUGUCCGCCGCCGAAGACCACACUGCCUCCACGAUCAUCAAUGAUGCGGACCGAUAGGAUUUUGGCGGUGGCCUCCUCAUCGAUGUAGACCUUCUUAAGUGCUGGCCUGUUUAUCGUUGACGUUAGACCGAAUCAUAAGCGUGCCAACUUCAGUCGGCCAAAGAGGCUGUCCCUUGAUGCCCAUGACGUUUAAGCGCUCCCACAGCUCCAACAACCGCACGUUGAGAAGUUCUGAGCGGUCAUACGUUAUGUGAUGAGUGGCGGCUGAGUCCAGGAACCACCCCGUCGGAUGCUCACCAUUGUAAGCUGUGAACGCAACCUGCCGCGGGAAGCCUGAUCCCCUUCCAGACCCACUGGGCCCAGGCUUGCUGCCGCUAGCUCCACUGCCACCACCACCCAUACCUUGUCCACUGCCGGAAAUGGACAACUGCUUUAGUGCCUUUAACUUCCUGCAAGUUUUUAAUAUCGUGCCCGGGUUUUUUGCAAUAGUGACAAAACAAAUGUUUGGGGGGACCGCCAGAACUGCUGCUGGCCUCGCCGUGAUUCCUAAGACCAGAACCAGAGGCGCCAAACGUGAGACCGCCGACAGAAGCAAAAGCUGCCGACUCAGUAGGCUUACUAGACCCACCGCUAGCCAAAAGCUUGGAGGUGACGCUCGCCAUGUCCAAAUCACCGUCACGCACCAGCAGGGACGUCGUUUCCAUGUUGAAGCGGCUGGGUAGACCAACCAGCACUGUGUACGCAAGCUCCGAGUCGCUGAUAACGUGCCCCACUCCCAGCAAGUCUGAUUGUAAUUGCCGCGCACGUGCUUGGGUAGCGGCUCACCGUCGACCAUCUUGAAACGGCUGAACUCUUGACGGAGAGCUACCUUGCGUGCGUUAAUGUUGGCGACAAACAUCGCGGCCAAAGCGUCCCAUGCCCUCUUCCCGUUGUGAGCGGGGGUGGUUCCUGGACUUAGCCGCCACCAAAAGCCACUGUAAUACUUACACUGCGACCAGUCUCCUUGCCUCCUUCAUAUUCUUAACAUUCUUGAUGAGCAGGUUGAUAACCUUACGAGAUUGUCGAAUCUGCUCCUCGUUUCCCGGCUCGACGAGUAGGACUUGCUCAAGCCCAAGCUCCAUACACAGCGCGCUGAACCGAAUUUGCCAGGUGGCGUAGUUGUUGAUGUUGUUACAGGGUGGUUAAGCUUCACCAGUGGCCUCCUUCCCGAGGCAGUUCCCUGCUCUCCCCUGCUAGAGGGGCACCCUAAUCCAUUCACCCCAUCCGACUUCAGUAUGUACUCUUUGAGUUUGGCAACUCACCACCGGCAUCCAACCAAAUCUAGCGGAUCAACGGCGCGUCAACUUAGUUCCUGGUCAGCUCGCAAGUUGUUAUGAGCCCCGGCUCACGCUAGCAGCAUGUACCUCUAAUACUCGUAUUCCACAAUGGGGAAGGACAAGCUUGACGAGCCUCUGGACUUGAACAACUACGCCACCUGGCAAAUUCGGUUCAGCACGCUGUGUAUGGAGCUUGGGCUUGAGCAAGUCCUACUCGUCGAGCCGGGAAACGAGGAGCAGAUUCGACAAUCUCGUAAGGUUAUCAACCUGCUCAUCAAGAAUGUUAAGAAUAUGAAGGAGGCAAGGAGACUGGUCGCGAUGUAAGUAUUACAGUCGGUAGGUGAGUGGUGAACGGCAGGAAGACUUUAGGAGAUUCCUAUGAAGGAAUACCGAUCCAUACAAAGAUGAGAUACCAAGACUGGCAUAACUUGUGUCUUAUACACCAGUACCAAUCGAAGUAUCGUACAGUCGCCCACCAUCUAACUUGGACACGAGGACACGUCCGAGAUACGCGGCCGAGAGACCCGAGGCAAUGUAGAGGCACGUCCGGAUUCAUCGCCUAUCACGGCGGAUUCAUCGCCUAUCUACCACCUAUCUACGUUGGGAUAGGACCGCCCUUCAACAGAGAAAGGGUCAGUUCGAUGGGGUCAACGCCCCAGGAGCUCCAGGCAGUCCUACACGCACUUCAAUCCUUCAACGGUCCUGCAGGCCUACGACACCAAGUCGUCCGGGUGAAUACUGACAAUCUCAAUUGCGCCAACGUCCUCAACAAAGGGUCCGCAAAAGCCGAGGACUCGUACCGGAUUGCCUGCGAAAUGUUUUGGUACUGUAUUGCCGAGGGUAUCACACUGCAGGCGGAGUGGCGGCCGCGAGAAGAAAACACUCUGGCGGACUACCUCUCAAAGCUGCAGGACCGGGACGACUGGAUGGUGAACCGUAAGGAAAUUCAGAGGCUCAACACCGCCUGGGGUCCCUUUGACAUUGAUCUUUUCGCGUCACACACCAGCUGCCACAAUACUAUUCCCGCUUCUUCACGCCAGAUACCGCGGGUGUAGAUGCCUUUCGGUUCCACUGGGGACGGAAUUGCUGGGCGAACCCGCCUUUCUGUUGUUGAUGUUGUUACAGGGUGGUUAAGCUUCACCAGUGGCCUCCUUCCCGAGGCAAUUCCCUGCUCUCCCCUGCUAGAGGGGCACCCUAAGCCAUUCACCCCAUCCGACUUCAGAGUGUACUCUUUGAGUUUGGCAACUCACCACCAGCAUCCAACCAAAUCUAGCGGAUCAACGGCGCCUCAACUUAGUUCCUGGUCAGCUCGCGAGUUGAUUUUAUCACGUCCUACACCGUCCAUAAGAUGGGGAGCCUCCUCCCAUUUCACCACCUCUCAAACACCCGAGAGGUCGGCAGGCGGAUUUGAACCCGGGUAGACCGGGAGCAGAAGUCAGGCCUUAACUUCUGCCAGCCGCCUGCUUUCUGUUUGCUACUUAAGGUCCUGCGGCCGCCUGCUUUCUGUUUGCUACUUAAGGUCCUGCGGCACGCAGAGCUGUGCAAAGCACACAUCUGUCUUAUCGUUCCCCUCUUUUUGCCAGGGUCUUCGGGAAACGAGGUCCCAAAAGGGUCCGCUAACUGGCUAUCGCUCGCACUUCUCAUCGAUUUCCAAACCCAUUCCCCGCGCCGGAUCGCUGUGCCCCCCGACCCCUAUGCCCCCCGGUUUUCACAGGAGUAAGGGCACGCGUGCAGACACUGCUGGGCCAGGUGCCCGUGGACGCCAACCCAAUGAUCCUUUCCAAGUUACGUUAUCGCAUAAGCACCGCCUGCUGGGGGGCAUACUGGGGCACUCGCCCGUAGGUUAUGCGCACCUCCGUUCAUCUAUUGACUAAAGGGUUCGCAGCAGCCGAAGCGACGGGGGAGUGGACCGUGCACGCGAUUGAGGCACUCCCACACAUUCGGAGCAACGGGAAGACGACGUUUACAGCCAAUUUCUGCCUACACUAUUGGAGCUUAUUAUUGUUGCUCUCACUUCCCCCCCCCCCGCCCUCAGUGUCCCUCGUUUGUAAGCGGCAGGCCCGGCCCAGUUGGAGACCUGGUGGUGAUUAGGCAGUCCCCUCGGAGCGCCAGACGCACAGCUGUACUGUUGAGGAAACGGUCCUCACCCAACUCGUAUGGUUGUCGACCAGGGGAUCUGACCCCGGGUCUGCGCCUGACUAAUGGGGAAGACUUACCCCAGAACCUUAUGGGGCUACCGAUGCAUAUCCGGUAGCUAAGUGAUAGACAUUAGGGCACCGUCUGGACGGCGCAGUGAGAUCACGGAAUGUACGUGCAGUUAGAUCGCGGAAUGUACGAGUUUUCCGCUAGCGCCGGUAUUUAGGGCGGUGACUGCGCCUAUUAGUUUAUCUCACAACGAUCGGUAUUCCUACCAGGAAUCUCCUCAAGUCCUGCCGAACGCUAACAAUACUCUUUACAUUACUUGUAACAAGUUUAUCGUGCUAAAUAUCUUCGCCACCGGCAAUCCUUCCGGAAUAACAAUCAGCGUUAGCCGUCACCGUCGCCAAUUCUUCAAUAUGUACAGCGAUAACCGCAGGGCAAAUAAGUGCCUUUAGAGUAUCGUUGCGCGCUAGGAAUGUCGCCUGGUCAGCACCGCUGGCCAGGUUGUGGUUCGUGCGUCGCUGACGCUUCAGGUUUGCCCUCGGGGCGGGUGACCAGUGGACGCAGUUAUUAAUGCUGCAUUUAGUUGUCUUGUGCUGUGUGUCAGUUUUUUCGGCCGUGCGGUGUGGCCGCGCUAGACAGUGCGCUCAGACCGCGCCGAGUGGCGCUAGACCGCACUUCGGCACACAUGUGCGCCCUGGCGCUCCGAGAGUACUGCAGUACUGCAGUAGUGUAAGGCCCAUAGGGUUUGGCACUACUGGUAAGGCGCGACCAUUGCCCCCAGGAGAUCCCGGGAUCGAUACCCGGGUCACAGGUCCUUCCAACGGUGGGAGGCAUUGCGCCCCUAGUUGAUGGACGGUGGUGACCUGGGAUAAAGUUAACCGAGCCGACCAGGAAUGGAAUUGGGCCGCUGUCGACCCGGCAUAUUCCGUUGGAAGCUGGUGGUGGGUGCGUAACCUGAGCGAUCCACUGAGAAGUUGACUAGGGUGACUGGAUGAGGGUGCCCGAAAUGCCGGGGAAGGCAGGGUUUCGCAGGGUGGCUGCCACGGGCGAAGAUACCCCCCUGUUUCACACAUCUUUCAUAGGGCGGUAUUCCUCAACGGAAUCUCUUAAAAGUCCUGCCGAUCGUUACUCUGAUAAGUCCAAACUCUUCGCCGGCAUUCCCGUUUCGAAGUAACAGUCAGCCUCUGCCGCCGCCGUCGAUUCAUCAAGGGCAUCGAUGACACGUCCCUGGAGCUCGUAAGACUCCAGAAAGUGACAGAAAGAGCGUCUCGUGGUCCAGGGCAAAGGCCUCGCUGAAGUCAAUCUGCAUGACGAUGAGCUGCCUGGGGCCAGCUCUUGUGUGCUGAGAGAUGAAAUGCCUAAAUUCCUGAAGAAUUCCCGUCGAAAGUGAGAGCAAGUGAAAGAAAGGCAGGAACACGGCAGUGUUUCUGUCUUUCGUUCUUGCUCUCCUUUCUGAGGGCUACGGCUAGAACCCCCGUGCGUUCGUUAGUUCCUUCGUUUGUUCGUUCACGCGUGAAAGGGAAUGCUUGAAGGGAAUGCUUGGGCUUUUCAUGAGGAAAAAGAGGGACAGAUGGAUAGUCAGGCACUAUAGAACUUUGACUUCACUUGUUUAAGAUUGAUACGUACCUCAUACUGCUUUUCCCUGUUGCGACCUAUAAUAAUUUUCCAAAAGAAAAAGCGUGAGAUUACUGAGAAGCGGCCUGUUCAAAUCUUAGGCGAGUAAGCUCGUUUUGGGACAUUUUGUAACAAGUCGCCUGUUCAAGCAAGUAAAAGACAGACAUAUGUGGGUUUGGCACUACUAGUAAGGCGCGACCAUUGCCCCCGGGAGAUCCCGGGAUCGAUACUCGUUAGGGUCAAAAGUCCAUCCGCUGGUGGAAGGCAUAGCGCCCCUAGCUGAUGGACGGUGGUGACCUGGGAAAGUUAACCUGCGAGCCGACCAGGAAUGGAGUUGGGCCGCUGUCGACCCGGCAGAAUCCAUUGGAUGCUGGUGGUGGGUGCGUAGCCUGAGCGAUCCACUGAGAAGUUGACUAGGGUGACUGGAUGAGGGUGCCCCGAGAUACCGGGGAAGGCGGGAGAAGAUGGCAGGGAUGUGGAGGCGGCAGGGGAUAGAGGCGGCAGGGGAUGGAGGCGGCAGGCGAGGCGCGGCAGGGGAUAGCAAGUAAAAGAAAGGCAGAAAAACACGUUCCCGAAGAAAGUGAGAGUCAGUGUUUCUCAACACCAAGUAAGAAGAUCGGAAACACGUCUGUUUCCUUGGAUGCAUUCCCGAAGAAAGUGAGAGCAAUUUCCAAAGUAAAGUGAGAGCUAGUAAAAGAAAGGCAAAAAGAUGUCUCCUUGCUCUCCUUUCUGUCUGAGGGCUACGACACAGCCUGCCAUCCAUAGAGGCGGCAAGGGCGAAGGUGGCAGGGGAGGAGGAGGCAGGGGAUAAGGCGGCAGGGGAAGGAGGCGAUAGGGGAGGACACGGCAGUGGAUAGCAGGGGAGAAGGUGGCAGGGGAGAAGGUGGCAGGGGAUAGAGGCAGCAGGGGAGAAGGUGGCAGGGGAUAGAGGCAGCAGGGGAGAAGGUGGCAGGGGAUAGAUGCGGAAGGGUGUUGGAAAUGAUCGACACUCAUGCUAGUGAAUGGUAACUACACUAAUAGGACCCAACGGGGUCCGGCGCUUUGCUGGUCUUAACAAAGGGAGGAAGUGGCAGGGACGGAGGCGGAAGGGGAGAAGGUGGCAGGCCAGGACCAGCAGGGCUUAGAGGCGGCAGGGGAUAGAGGCGGCAGGCAAUGAGCGGCAGGAGAUAGAGGCGGCAGGGGAGAAGGUGGCAGGGUAGGAGGUGGCAGGGGAGGAUGUGGCAGGGGCGGAGGCAGCAAGGGAUGAGGCGGGAGGGGAUAGAGGCGGCAAGGGAUGAGGUGGCAGGGGCGGAGGCAGCAAGGGAUGAGGCGGCAGGGGAUAGAGGCGGCAAGGGAUGAGGUGACAGUGGCGGAGGCAGCAGGGGAGGAGGCGGCAGGUUAGUUACGAGGCGUCAGGGGAUAUAGCCUUGCGGCAGAAACUAAGAUUUAGUAUUGUUAGAAGUCCGAGUUUGGUUACGUUGUUUUCAGUUGUACACAAACGGAAGGCGACGUCGUGCACAUGGACACCCUAGAGUUGGGAGGAGGCGGCAGGCGAGGAGCAGGCAGGGGAGGAGGCGGCAGGGGAUAAGAUGGCAGGGGACGGAAACAGCAGAGGACGAGGUGCAGAGCGAGAAAGCGGCAGGCAAGGAGCAAUAUCCCACCUCUUUCUAGGGGCACAUAGAGCCGUAGGCUCCCUUACUCCCUUAUGUUAACAGAUGGUGCUCAGGUGCCAAAACCAUGCCUACAUCCAGCCUGACUUGCAGCACGGAACCCAUUCACUUUCACAGUACGUAUUAGGCCGCCGUGCAACUAAGUAUAGCUGCUAGACGUUUAGCUUGCUAAGUUACAAGUUACAAGUGCCGCACGAGGGGGGGUCCGUCAAAGCCGGGAGGCCAUGGACUAUAUGAUGUGUGAAACAGGGGGGUGUAUCUUCGCCCGUGGCAGCUACCCUGCGAAACCCUGCCUUCCCCGGUAUUUCGGGGCACCCUCAUCCAGUCUCCCUUGACAACUUCUCAGUGGAUCGCUCAGGUUCUGCACCCACCACCAGCAUCCAAUGGAAUCUGCCGGGUCGACAGCGGCCCAACUCCGUUCCUGGACGGUCGCGGCUCGCAGGAUAACUUUAUCCCAGGUCACCACCGUCCUUCAGCUAGGGGCACUGUGCCUUCCAUCAGCGGAUGGAUCUGUGACCUUAACGGGUAUCGAUCCCGGGAUCUCCCGGGGGCAAUGGUCGCGCCUUACCAGUAGUGCCAAGCCCUUAUUAUAUGAUUCGUUUCAAUAUGUGUGUGUGUGUUACAUGGUUGGGGGUGCGUGACCCCAUACCUGUAAAACUACCCAUACGAGCCGAAGGCCCAAGUGCAAUACUACAACGCCUAAAAGCCACGGAGAAAAGGAAACACCGCACAUCAGCCCAGACUAGCGUCCAAAGGGGGUAAUUGAGUUUCGGUGAGCCCACAUACGUUCCAACAUCCUCGCCAGACGUGCUGGCUCCCAUUCAUGGCCUCCAACAUGCUCUGUUGAUGACCGAAUCCCUCUUCAGCACGAAUAUCAUUAUAGGCUGGGCAUUCCAAUAACACGUGUUUUUCAUCCUCGAUUCGGCUAUUAGUACCACAACAGCGGCAAAACCGCUGCCCCCUGGGGACAUGGUACUUGCCUCUUCGUGCUCUGUUUGCCUCCAGAGCCCAGCAACGUCAACAAAACUGCAUUAGCUUACAAUGUGCUAAACGAGGAAUAAGACCUUAGCAUGUGUUGGCCACAUGACGGCUGCGGCUCCCGAAAAGGGCAGCUCCAUCCAGUGCCCUCUGGCAAGACAGUCAGACGCGUAUGGUCCCAGCCACUCAUCAAACGCUCUCUUAGUGCUGUUAUCAUCGCUCCUUCGGGUAGAGGCCUACUCAACAACCAGUCAACACGCUCCUUUACCCCCAUGACUUCUUGCGGUAUUCCGCUCCUAAUAUUGCACUCCAAGAAGGAAAACAGUCGUAACAUUGAGGUUCCCCAACUGGUGAAGCUUAACCGCCCUGUAACAACA